UAUAUAGUUAGGCCUGGAGAAAUUCCAGAAGUCCACUCGCAGACUUUCAAAGCCGGGGCCACAGGCACAUGGACAAACCCCUUAGUCUGUUUGCUGAUCGGCUUACAGGCAGAACUGGUGAGAGCCGUUUGUUAGGGCAGUCGCAGCCCAGUUAGUGUUCGCUCUGCGUAUUUCUCAUCCAUAAUACAAUAAACAAAAAUGAACAACAGCAACAACAAAACACUCAGCAUGAUGGCUGUUGUUCGGAAUUCCACCAGCGUUUUCCAGGGGCUCACAACAGGAUUACACUGAAAAAAUUAAUCACGCAUUUUGGUGACUGUUGGGACCGUUUGGAGUCUUGGCCUCCACUUGCUCUCCCCUGCUAGUGACCUUUAUUGGCCUUCUGAUUUGAGCUUCUGAAAGCUGUGUCCAGCUCUGCUUCCUGAGCAUGUGUUGCCUUGUCCUUGAUUGAGGAACAGGAGAUGAGGUUGUCACCUGCUGGCCCACCUGACUAUGUUGGGUAUAUAAGCCUCCAUGGUACUGUUCAAUAAGGGACGUCUUUACCAGUGAUUAGAGCUGCGGGAGCUAUAGCACAGCAGGGCAAAGGAAUUCAUUUCCCGAUUCCGCCCCAGCCUCCUGAGGUAUACUGGUAUUUCCGGUACAAUUGCAGCAAAAUCAGAAUGUUUACUUAAUUAUUCACCGACCAAUAUACUUAAAACUCCAGCAGGAAAGACAACUUGGAAAGUCCGUGAAUAUUAUCUCUGGGGGCAGAAAGAGCUACAACUCUCAGUGUUAGGAUUAUGCUGGCCUUUCCUGUCACACUGCAGGAUGAAACCAGACAGUACCCUAUCUCUUUAAGAGACAAACUCUGCCCACUCCCAAUCUCUCUCUUCCAGCUGAGGCAAGCUUGUCUUGGCUCUCUCUCUCCCUCUCUUCCCACUGUUCUUCUGAAGAGACAGUUCUCUGUCUCUCCUCCCUCCUUUCUCUCUCUCUCUGUUUCUUUCUCCCUCUUUCUCUCUCUUGCCCAAUCACUGUCCCAACAUUCUUUAAAUAGACUCUAUGCCCAAGCUCUCUUUGCUUUUGGCUGUGUUUCUCAUCUGACAUGGGACCUAAUUAGGAUUCAGACUAAAAGAGGUAGUAUCUGUUUUGUGUAGAUCCUUCACUGCCUUUCAGCUUGUUUCACCCAAUAAAUUGUCUCCUAUAGGUGUAGCCCAAGAGGAAAAUCCUUUGGAAUGGAUUUAUCUACACCAUAAGAGCAUAAAAUACAAGCUUCUCACCUCACUUUAUUAGCAAAUCGUGGAACACCUGAUGUCAACAAUUAUAUGGAUUUGAUCAUGGCUGCAUUGUAUUACCUCUAACUAGCAGUGAGUUUUUAAGAAUGUUACAAAACUUUCAUGGAUUUUCAAAUUUGGUUUGCAGUUACUAUAGAAAGAUAGGGAAUCAUUAUCCAGCUAGUUAACUAUGUAAUUUCCUUAUAUGAACUGAAUUUGCGAUUAGAAAAACUGUCCAACCUUCUUCCAUUUCACAGACAGACACUUAUUUUAUUAAUGGUUCAUCUAAACCCUUAGGAGGGAAUUUAUGGUCCAGAUGUAGGGUAAAAGGACCAGCCUGGUCCUGAAAUCAGAGCCAGCGAAAGACGCACAUCCUGGUUAUGAAACCUGAACCAGUGAAAGAAACACUUUAGCCUUGAACCCGGAACCAAAGAAAUGCACACUGAUCCUGAAACCAGAGCCAAAGAAACACACCUUGACUCUGGAACCAGAGCCAGUGAAAGAAAUACACCUUGGCCCUCAGAAUAGAGUCAAAAGGCUAAAAAAUCAGUGAAAGAAACACAGUUUGGUCCUGAAACCAGAGUCAAAUAUGCCCCUGACCAACUAAACAUGAAACCAACCAAUCACUGAGCAUGAAAUCUAGUACCCUAAUCCUGAACCCAGAACCAGUGAAAGAAACACUUUAUCCCUGAUCCCAGAACCUAUGAAAUAUACUGUGAUCCUUAAACCAGAGCCAAACCCAAAACAAACCAAAACAAAAACCUCCACAUUUUGGCUCUAGAACCAGAGAUAGUAAAAGAAAUAAAUAUGCCUUAGCCUCCAAGAUAAAGCCAAAAUGCUAAAAAUGAACAGAAAAAAUUUAGCCCUGAAACCAGAGCCAACUCUGCCCCCACCUAAACCAACCAGUCCCGGAGCAGGAAAACUAACCAAUCCCUGGGCAGAAAAUUUGCUCCCUGGGAAA